rnacentral:lncRNA from 1 species
AGGAGUCUGUGUACGGGUCUACCGUGAUGAGCCGGACGGUGGAUGGGACAACUCUGGCCAUGGGGAGGUAGGGGGGAUCGAGUAGUUUCCACCGGGUGGUGGGGACCAUGCUGUAAAUGACUUUAGCAGUGCUGCCGAGGUUGUCGAGGAGGUCCGUGUAUGUGCGGUCGUCAUCCAAGCGGAUGACAUUGUAGAAGGACAACUGCGAGGUGGUGUAAGGGGGUGGAAGGAAGACGGACAAGUGCGAUAGAAUCAGCUGGCGGUGACGUGUGUGAUGGGAGGUGUUGCGGUUGUUUGUAAGGGGGAAGUGGAUGUGCAGGUGGAAAUACCUAGGCUGGAUAUCUUCCAAUAUGCUGCGAGCUAGAAAUCAGUUUCGGUGCACUAGGUAUGUGCUGCCCCAAUGAACGUGAGCACUGGCUUCAGGUAUGCAUCCGUGUGAGUGGCGAGCCCUCUGAAGCACUGCGAAAUGAACUCGAGGUAGCUGCCGCCCAUCCCGUGGACUUACCGCCCGUCCAAAGUAGUUGCCAAAGCGGUUGAGGAUGUCCUUGAGGCGCUCGUCAUCGAUAAGAAUGAUGACGAUGCGGCUGGCUGGGAGUGGCAGGUCGUUGUUGAAGCCCUUGUGCUCCCAUCCAAAGAUAGCCUUGUACAGCGUACCCUUCUUCAAGCGCUUCAUACGGUGGAGCCUGUCUGGCAGGUCCUCUGAUCCCGCGGUUGCGGCGAGCACCAUGCUCAUAUCCGGCCGCGGUGUGCUGCAUGGGUGUGUCCGUUUGGUAAUGGGAUGCGUCAAGAGGUGGUGGCACAGUUGAGGUGGUGGCUCAUGUGCAGGAAUUGGAAGGCAUGAGCAGUUGCCACAUUAUGGUUAUGGCAAAAGAACGACUGUGAGCAGGUUGAGUCGUGUAGAUGCGCG